rnacentral:rRNA from 1 species
GACAGAGCCUCAAGCGUUAGGCGGAAUCACUGGGCUUAAAGCGUGUGUAGGCGGGUCGUUAAGUACCUUGUGAAAUCCCACGGCUCACCCGUGGAACUGCUGGGUAUACUGGCGAUCUUGGGCCAACUAGGGGCAACUGGAACAAGCGGUGGAGCGGUGAAAUGCGUAGAUAUCAUUUGGAACGCCAACGGCGAAAGCAGGCAGCUGGGGAUGCACCGAACGCUGAGACACGAAAGCCAGGGGAGCGAACGGG